rnacentral:rRNA from 1 species
AGAUUGAACGCUGGCGGCAGGCCUAACACAUGCAAGUCGAGCGGUAGAGAGGUGCUUGCACCUCUUGAGAGCGGCGGACGGGUGAGUAAUGCCUAGGAAUCUGCCUAGUGGUGGGGGAUAACGUUCGGAAACGGACGCUAAUACCGCAUACGUCCUACGGGAGAAAGGCGGGGGACCUUCGGGCCUCGCGCCAUUAGAUGAG